ACGGCGGGGCAGCAUGUCGGCGCUGGGCGCGGUGGAGGCGGCGGGCACCGGGUCCGUGUUCCGGGCGCUGAGCGCCGAGGACGGAGAGCAGCGUCCGGCGGAGAUCGAGUCCCUGUGCAUGAAGUGCUUCUGCAGCGGGGUGACGCGGCUGCUGCUCACCCGGAUCCCGUUCUUCAGAGAGGUCAUCGUGAGCUCCUUCACCUGCGGGAGCUGCUCCUGGGCCAACACCGAGAUCCAGGCCGCGGGGCGCAUCCAGGAGCGGGGCGUGCGCUACAGCCUCACCGUCAGCUCCCGGCAGGACAUGGACAGGCAGGUGGUGAAGACCGACUGUGCCACAGCUCGGAUCCCAGAGCUGGACUUUGAGAUCCCGGCUUUCUCCCAGAAGGGAGUGCUUACCACCAUUGAAGGGCUCAUUGACAGAGCUGUGGCCGGCCUGGAGCAGGACCAGCCUGUCCGCAGGGCAACAGACCAGGAGGUGGCCAGUAAAAUAGAUGAGUUCAUUGGGAAGCUAAAGCAGCUGAAAGAAGUUCAUUCCCCCUUCACCUUUAUCAUCGAUGACCCUUCAGGGAACAGCUUUGUGGAGAACCCUCGUGCGCCGCAGAAGGAUGAUGCUCUGGUGGUCACUCACUACAGGAGGAGUCCCCAGCAGGCUGCCAUGCUGGGGCUGCAGGGAGAGGAGCUGGAUGAGAGGCCUGAUGAUGAUGCUGCAGAGGACCUGAGGAAUGAGGUCCUGCAGUUCAACACCAACUGCCCCGAGUGCAACGCUCCAGCCAGCACAAAUAUGAAGUUAGUGCAGAUCCCACACUUCAAGGAGGUGAUCAUCAUGGCCACAAACUGUGACUCCUGUGGGCACAGGACGAAUGAGGUGAAGUCUGGAGGAGCCAUCGAGCCGCAGGGCACCAGGAUUACCCUGCGGAUCACAGACCCCUCUGACAUGACAAGGGACAUCCUCAAGUCAGAGACGUGCAGUGUGGAGAUCCCGGAGCUGGAGUUCGAGCUGGGCAUGGGAGCACUGGGGGGGAAGUUCACCACCCUGGAGGGGCUGCUGAAGGACAUCCGGGACCUGGUGGAGAGGAACCCCUUCAGCCUGGGGGACAGCUCUACACCCAGCAGGACCGGGAAGCUGCAGGAGUUCAUUGGGAAGCUGCAGGAGAUCAUAGAGGGAAAGGCAAAGGCUCACCUCAUCCUGGAUGACCCUGCAGGCAACAGCUACCUUCAGAAUGUGUACGCGCCGGAGGAGGACCCGGAGCUCCGAGUGGAGCGCUACGAGCGGAGCUUUGAGCAGAACGAAGACCUGGGCCUCAAUGACAUGAAGACAGAGGGCUACGAGGCAGAGGAAGCCUCGGGCCGGUAGCUGGACCCCUUCAGCCUCGAUGGAAUGGGACUUUCUGGGGCGGAGCCCCUCUCCCGGCCUGGGACACCCAUUAUCCCAGCCCAGGACACCUGUUAUCCCAGCACAGGACACCCGUUAUCCCAGCCCAGGACACCCGUUAUCCCAGCCCGGACACCGUUAUCCCACCCGGACACCGUUAUCCCAGUCCGGGGUCGCUGCUGGAUGUGCUCAUGGACCCGGUGGGGUCCUGGGGGCCCGCAAAUAAAGCCGCGUGUUGAA